ACCGCAGGAAGACUUCGUCCGGACUCCUAUGGGAGCCGGACAUGGAGGAGUCCGGACUCCAUCCCCGGCCCCGACUGCAGGGAGACUUCGUCCGGACUCCUACGGGAGUCGGACUUCGUCCUCGACUUCAAUUACAGGUAGACUUCAUCCGGACUCCUACGGGAGCCGGACUUCUUCCCCGACUUCAAUUGCAGGUUGACUUCGUCCGUACUCCUACGGGAGCCGGACUUCGUCCCUGACUCCG
rnacentral:lncRNA from 1 species